AUUGAACGCUGGCGGCAGGCCUAACACAUGCAAGUCGAACGAGUGGCGGACGGGUGAGUAAUGUCUGGGAAACUCCCCGAUGGCGGGGGAUACCUACUGGAACCGGUAGCUACUACCGCAUACUCUCCGAUUUGCCCAGAUGGGGUUAGCUAGUAGGUGGGGUAACGGCUCACCUAGGCGACGAUCCCUAGCUGGUCUGAGCGGAUGACCGGCCAAAAUGGAACGGAGACACGGUCAAGACUCCUACGGGAGGAAGCAGUGGGGAAUAUUGCAAAAUGGGCGAAAGCCUGAUGCAGCAAUGCGGCGUGGAUGAGGAAGGCCUUCGGGUUGUAAAGUACUGUCAGCGGGGAGGCGUUACUCGCAGAAGAAGCAACGGCUAACUCCGUGCCAGCAGCCGCGGUAAUAC
rnacentral:rRNA from 1 species